UACGUAGGGAGCGAGCGUUGUCCGGAAUUACUGGGUGUAAAGGGUGCGUAGGCGCCUUUGUGGGUCAGGCGUGAAAUACAUGGGCUUAACCCAUGGACUGCGCUUGAAACUAUAAGGCUUGAGUGAAGUAGAGGCAGGUGGAAUUCCCGGUGUAGCGGUGAAAUGCGUAGAGAUCGGGAGGAACACCAGUGGCGAAGGCGGCCUGCUGGGCUUUAACUGACGCUGAGGCACGAAAGCAUGGGUAGCAAACAGG
rnacentral:rRNA from 1 species